CUACUGUGAUGAACACUUAUCCUGAAGCUGAUCAUUUUGAUGAGACACUUUCGGAUCUGACUGCUGAGUU